AAUAAAUACCACCUGCUUCUUUAACCCAGCUUAUUAAAACCAGCCCAUUACUUUCUAUUAAGGGAGUUGGAAGUAUAGCAGGAAGAGGCCAUCCAUGGAGUUGGAAGAAGAGCAGGAAGAGAACAAGAAGAAGGGCAGGAUUAUCUUGCUGGGUUGUUUUCCUAACCUUCCUCAAAGCUUGUUUUUGCUUUUUUUGGAAAGGCCCAUUGGUGUAUAGCAUGAACCAUAAAGAUGUAACAAAACUAAGCGAUUGUGAGUAUUAAUUUGUGACUGUCCACAAGGAGGAAUAUAUCAUUGCUAAGUGCACUCUACAACGUUGGAUUAUAUGGUGAGCUAAUUACACUAUGAUUGGACGAUAUUGGAUAUUGUGGGUAAUAGUUGGUUCUACAUUUUCUCUUGAAGGAUUUAUAUUUUGACGAUUCUUUAUGCCUGGAUUAUGGCUCUCGGAUAGUAUACAUGGUAUGUUCAAUUACUAUGGGAUGUAAAUAUAAAUUCACAGGCUUUUCAACUAUUCAUACAGAAAUUCGAGUUUUAAUUUGGUAAUGUAACACCCUCAACUGCACACCAAGGCUAAAAUUGAGUUGGAAAUAUUUGAAGGAUGUUUUACCUCUAAAAGGCAUCUAGCGGAGAUUGAUUUUAGUAAGUUUUGGUUCAAUCGAAAAUUAUUUUGAUAGUGAGUACAUAAUUUAUACUUAUUGCAGUACAUGCACUCAUUUUGGGAGUGAACCUGAUAUGGUUUUAAACAUCAAAAUGUGCUAUAUAUAUGUAGCUGGAGAGAUUGAGAUAUAGACGAAAAUGAGAAUCCUUUACAAAGUCUUGAAGUUAGAAUAUAACCUGCUAUUUAUCAAAAAUCUCGCAAAUGUAACUGUUGUUUAUAACUUCGAGUAGAGUCUUCUCCUUUUUUUUUUGCAAUAUUCUUCAAUCGAUAGUAAAGUAACUGUUCACUUUUAAUUGAGCAAGUCUAAUUGUGGAGGUUGAGGUCUCCUAUCUACUAUAAGAUAACACUAUCACUCUUGGCUUAGACUAUUGAUCAUAGUUGUUGAGGACAAAACUUUUGCUUUGUUGGUCAUGAUUUAAAGCCACUUGUUGCCUAGUUAUGUCACGUUAGGAUUUGCGUGAUAAAUGUUGGGUUGUAUUUAGGGGUGUAAAACAGGCUGGGUCCACAGGUUAUUUUGAUUUCAUACUAUUAUAGUGGCGUAUUGUAUAUAUUAGAAUCUAUGGGAAUUAAAUUGUGACUCUCUUAUAUAGAAGAAAGUGUCCGUACCAACUGUGUUAGCAGUCGGAGAUUUAUAAUAUGUUUAUUUGAGAUUUUAUUAUUAUUACUGUUCUUAGAAAAGACAAAUGUUUUUCUUAAGCUAGUUGAGAUAUAUCUACUUUCUUGUUAUGCUUUUUCUUCAAAUACUCUUGAGAAUAUGGUUGGCGUUAUUUUUUUUUCUUUUAUUAUAGAGAAUAGCUGAUUCCCCACUAUAAUUAGUCAUGAGACCAAAUAAGGCAAUAAAGUUGUCGAAGAUGCCACGAAUUUAGAUGAGUAUGGUAAACCAUUUAUUCAUUUCAAAAUUCAAUUUAGAAUUUGUUUGAAAUGUUUUACUAGAUAAGCAGUUAGAAGGAAUGAUUGUUCUUACAAAGAAGCAUCAUGUAUUGUUUUCUUGGCUGACAAUUAUGCUUAUGAAUAUUUUCAAUUGCUAGCACAGUUGGUAGGGAUAUUUUUUUUCGUGAUGGAAAAUUUGCAAUUUGAUUUCUAAGAUGUCGUAGAUUAUAGUAUGAGAUAGCCUAGUAGAAAGGGAAAAGAUAUUGAGCUACACGAAUGAGUCGUUCGUGUUGUUUUCUUUGAUGUUUAUGGCUACAAUUGUGAAAUCAUUACAUAACCUAAAGCUGAAAGGAGCAAUCAUAAUAUAAAUGGCUAGUUGAAAAACUAUUGGAUUUUUUGUUGGUUUUAUAAAUGUUUCAUCCUUCUCAUUAAAUCUAAUUAGAGUUGUUGGUUGCGAGUGUUUCUGCUCAAGUUGUGCUAUAAAAUACUUAGACCUUGUCUGGGAAUGCUUUGAGUACAGUAGCCACUUUCAAUGCUUUAGAGCUAUACCCCACCCAAAAAAAAAAGAAGAAAAGCAAUAGUGUUUUGGAGCUUCACUGUUCCCUUGUGCUUCAAGGUAAACAAGUGUGGUAGGAAGCUGCAAUUGAGGAAGCAUAUGACGUUUACGGAGCCCUAAAGCGCUUUAGUAUUCUGUGGGGACCUAAAGCACUCAAAAGCGGCAGGUGUAGACGAAGCAUUUCCAAAUUAGGCCUUAGGUUGGACGUUAAGCACACGCUUGUAUAAUAGAUGAUACAUCUUGCAAUUUCAUCUUCCAACUGGUAUGCUAGAUUGCGACGACCUUUCUGUAUUCGCCAAUAAUGCAUUUAAUCCUCACUAUUACUAAGUUUUUUGAUGUCACAGGGAGAAAAAUUCCGAUUAUUCUCUUAUUUGAAGCAUAAUUUCAUGUCAUACCUCUUCUUGAAGGUGUGUGGACUGCAAAAAUUUCAGUACAGGAAGAUCACUUCAACGAGUGCGCAACUUUUUUUUUCGUUCUUUCAAUAAAAUCUGGUUUCAGAAAACAAUUACAGCAUCAUGCUCUGAAUGAUAUGAUGUCUCAUUUUGGCGAAGCUGCAGUGGUUCCAAAUUUUGCAACUCAUUUUACUGAUUUCUGAAGUUCGAACUGCAUUCUCCGGUUAAUGUACAUCCUGCAAAUCUGAUGCUGACAGUUUUGGAAAUGCUGUUAUAAGAAAACAGAUUUGAGUUUGGAGGAAUCCGAAAACGGUGUCUACUUCCUGCUGCCCUUCUUGGAUCUACUUUCGGAUUAUGCGAAGGAAGUAUCUCAGGACAGAAGAAAAUCUUUCUUCUAGUGUAAGUUCAUAAUGACCGAGUUAUCGAUGAGUUGAUCCUUUUUCGACAGUGAUAAAAUUGUGUGAGAUUAUUUUACUCAGCAAUGACCAGUUUAAGUAUCCUUUUGAGUCACAGCAUUGUAGUGUGAUCUUUGCUUGCUUUUGUAUCCUGUGAAUGUUACACUCUUGUUUAUGUUCUUGCUUCUUUUAGGCUAAAUUACACUCUUGGUCCUCAAACUAUGAGACGCCUUGACACUUUGGCCGUUAAAUUUUAAUUUGUUAUAAUUUUUAUUCGAACUUUGGUCUUCAAUAAUUUACUUGAC